rnacentral:rRNA from 1 species
CACGUAGGGGGCGAGCGUUGUCCGGAAUCAUUGGGCGUAAAGAGCUCGUAGGCGGCUCAGUAAGUCGGGUGUGAAACCCCCAGGCUCAACCUGGGGACGCCACCCGAUACUGCUGUGGCUAGAGUCCAGUAGGGGAGUGUGGAAUUCCCGGUGUAGCGGUGAAAUGCGCAGAUAUCGGGAGGAACACCAGCGGCGAAGGCGGCACUCUGGGCUGGAACUGACGCUGAGGAGCGAAAGCGUGGGUAGCAAACAGGAUUAGAAACCCCCGUAGUCC